CCCCCCCCCCCCCCCGACGCUGGUGCCGUCCGCCCGAGCACCUCCCCGUCCGCCCGCGCCUCGAGCCACCGCCGGUGCUCCUCCUGUCGCCCAGAGCAGGGCGACCGGCGCGCCCCCCCUCUUCUCCCCACCCAACGCUGGUGCCGGUUGGUUGCUCCUUCAUCGUCGAGGGACGUUCGGGGAAGGACCGGAGGUGAGGCGCCGGCGGCAGGGAGCUAGGUGAGGCGGAUGGUCCCGUCUCCGGCGACGAAGCCAUGGAUGUUCAACCAGAACAUCAUGUUCGCGUUGACCUCUGUGGGCUGCUGCUUCUCCAACAUCGUCUGCAAGAAGUGGUACAUCGACAUCAACAAUAGGGCUGGAGAGUUCAAGGAGCCGGACUGGUUCUUGAACAGAAAGAAGGGCGGCAUGUUCCUGACCAGGAAGGACUACAACUUUAUUUGGUUCCCAAAUUUUUCAUAAGAAUCUGCAACCGUAUGAGUAGCAAGUAAAUUUGGCAUAGCUAUUCAAUUCAGCGCAUCUUGCAGUACAGUACUGCGGUGCACGGAGGAGCGGCGCAACCUGUGGCGCGAGCUGCUGUACAGGAGCGGCGGAGGGAUGGACCUUUUUGUUGUUCCCCGCUCACGAGCUGUUCUGGGUACGCGCAGUUCUUGGUGCAGUUUAGCUCAUGGGGAAAAUAAGCAGAUGUUUCUUCAAGUAAUUUGGGUAGGCGUUCGCGGAGCUUUGGAUGUAAAUCUGGGAUUUGGUCUUUAAGCUACGAUUCCACACCAAGAUUAUGUUCUCUGGAGCUAACCGUGCUGCUGUGCUGGACAGGCAGACGAGGGCCGGCCUGCUGCCGAUACAAGCCGUCGAGGUGGACGGCCAGCGCUAAAUCAUUUGCAGGUAUCUAGAGUUACAUUCCGGUGGCUGAGAUGCAUAUAGUUGUUGGCUGUAGUUCCUUCCAUUUGUCCGCUCGACGCGGAGAUUGACCCUCUAUGUAGCAUGCAACACUCAGCUGGGAAAUGCACUUAUAGGAACUAAUCACGUACUUUGCUGAACUCAGUCUGUUGUCCAGUUUCUGCAGACAUUUGUCAGCUGGCAAGAAGGUUGAAGGCACAUCGACUUGCUUCGAUUAAUUGGUGGAGCGGGCUGGACGACGCUGAAGUAGUCAUCUUCGUCGGCCCCGUCACUGCGUACGCAUACUCCUUCAAUUUUUCCCUCCUACUGGUGUUGUGAUCUGGAGAAGCUCAAGUAGUCAUCUUCGUCCAUCACGUCACUGCAUACGCAUACGCCUCUGAUUUUUUGACUCCUGCUCAAAGGAAUAGGAACGUUUCCCGCAAAAAAAAGGAAUAGGACUGUGCUCCUCCCAAAAGACAAAAGCAAGACAAUGCAGACAAUAAAAAUCCAGCACCAACAAUGAAUAGCCGGAGUAAACAAAACAAGCAGACCAAAUCGUGUCGGCCCUCUAGGAAGGGUUGCAGUGUCGAGGAGCAGCAGGCAUGUAAAUCUGACUGCAAUUCAUGUCACGGUGGAUGGUUUGAGAGGAGGGAGGCAGAGCAGAGACAAACGGCGCAUUCCGUCAUGCAUGUGUGUGGAUUUGUAUCAUCCUACUACUGUGUUGCUUUGUUUUACAGUAAUAAAUAAAGAGAUGGAUCAGAUUUUCUUU